UACGGGGGGAGCAAGCGUUGUUCGGAUUUACUGGGCGUAAAGGGCGCGUAGGCGGCCAGCACAAGUCAGUUGUGAAAUCUCCGAGCUUAACUCGGAAAGGUCAACUGAUACUGUGCGGCUAGAGUGCAGAAGGGGCAACUGGAAUUCUUGGUGUAGCGGUGAAAUGCGUAGAUAUCAAGAGGAACACCUGCGGCGAAGGCGGGUUGCUGGGCUGACACUGACGCUGAGGCGCGAAAGCUAGGGGAGCGGACGGG
rnacentral:rRNA from 1 species